UAUGUGUUACGACAGACGUGUAACGAGCAAACGCGUUUCCUCGCUAAUUCGUCGUAAAGCCUCUUUUACGACGAAUUAGCGAGGAAAACCGCCCUCGUUAAGAUUAUGUUUUCUUGUAGUGAACUUUCAAGUAAAGACUGUGAUUUGGGAGACCAGAAGCCUUGAUGGUGUUUAGAAAUUGGGAGUGAGAGCUUGGUCCUUGGCUGAGAAUCAGUAAGCAUCAAUCGAGUCAUAACUUAAGAAAUUCUUCACCUGCAUGUUAACAACUUCGAAAUCAACUAAUUUUAAAAAAAAAAAAAUUGUAUAGCCGAAUUUAAAACCAUAAAUUAUAUUACUUGGUAGUUUAUACAAGUGUUGGUAUUGUGUUCAUCUUUUAGACUGCAAUGUGAAGCUAUAUUGUGUUCAUCUCUUAGACUGCAAUAUGAAGUCAUGUAUAGACUUCUAUGUUUUUGGUGAAUUUUUGUAGCGAUUUCUGUGGACCUGUGAAUUUUUGUAGCAAUUUCUGUGGACCUAUGUUGAUUUCAAAUAGUUAAAAAAAUUAAAUACUCUUUUUUAUUUCUGGAUUUAACAAUAAAAUUGAUCAUGUUUGGAAUGCAUUUAUGUUACCAUUAAUUAUUGAUGUAUUACUAUGGGGAAAUGAUAGUUACAAAGUGAACUUGCCGAUUAUAAAUACUUGGAAAACUAAAUACUAAUUUACACACAUAAACCACUAGUUUUUUCGUUUAUUCAUUAAGGGUUGUUUUUUUAUUUUAAGUUUUUCAAAAUUAAUAGUUAGUUGGACAAAUAUUUUACAGAAAAAUAUUUAGGUAUUAAAUGAAGGGAAAAUUGCCAAAACAAAAUAAAAAUUCGGCAUGGUUGUCCCCUUAGUAUAAUAUCAUCACUAAGUUGUUUCUAUAGUAUAAUAUUUUUCAUAAUCCCAAAACUAAUCCUUCAUUAACCAAAUUAAUCAUAUUAAACAUAAUUGGAAAAUUUAAUAGUUGAAUUAAAAUUAAAAUGUUUAGAAUAAUUGAAUUAAAAUUAAAAUGUUUAGCAAAAAAGAAAAAAAAAAUAUUAAAAAUUAAAACAAAAAGGGAAACGUAACCCUAAAUCCCUUGCUUCCCCGUGUGGUUUCUCCGCCUCUCUCUCUCUCGAGAAAAAGAACAUGGUGAUCUUGUGUACCACCAACCGGUGAAAUCAAUGGCGGUCUAGAGCUUCUCCGCCUCUCUGGUUCUCUCCGCUUCUCUCCACCUCUCCACUUCCCUCCGCCUCUCCGCUUCUCUCCACCUCUCCGCUUGUCUCCCGCCUCUCCGUCUCUCUCCUCCGGUUCCCUGGUUCCAAUUUCUCGUAAAGAAGAACCUUUCUGCUGGUAUCGCUUCCGGUUGAUAAUCCUAGACAACCUUUAUCUUUGCAUGUUUCUCAAGUGAUAAGGGUUUUUGUUGCUAUGUGUUUGUGUUCCUCAGGUUCCUCUUUGCAUGUUCGAUUGUUAGGAAUAUGCAAAAUCGUUUUUUUAAAAUAUUUUUACAAGGCAAUUCGAUCAAAACACAUUUUAGGAAGUUAGAAUAUUUUUAGAAUAUUUUUUAAACUGAAAUUUCCUUAAUUUUCGCAAAAAAAAACAGGUUUUCUUAUCCGUAGAAGGUACAUUCUACACUGUGUAGAACCAUGACAAAAAUCCUGAAUACAAUUUCUACCUUAUGUAGAUGUACGAGUAAUGUCUAGAUUUCGCAUUCUGGAAAUUUUAGAAUACUUCAUAAAAGUAGAAACUACAAUCUAGAGAAAAGUAGAUAUUUUUACAACUAGUAGAAUUCGCAUUCUCCAUAUUUAGAAUUUUAAUUAAAAGUAGAUUGUUCGUUCUGAAAAAGUAGAUGAACUUGUAUAAUUUAGAAUUCAUUUUCUACUAACCCAUUUUCCAUAGAAGACGAAAUAUACUUUUAGUAGAACGAAAUUUAAAAAUUUAUUUAUCAAGUUUUUUGACCAACAAAAAAUAUCAUUUUGUGUAUAUGGGUGGUUUAUUAGUUGUUUUUCUUUUUAUAAUUUUUUUGAUUCAUGAAACUAUUUAUUUUAUUAAGUUUCAGAAAUUGAAGAGGUAAAACGGAUACAAAAUGGACAAAAAUGGUUUUAUACCAAAGGGACAAUCAAACUGAAUUACUGUUCCGCUUUGGCAAUUUUCCCUUAAAUGAAUCAUUUACAAAUAAUUUUUUAUUUUAAAAACUCAUUUUUCUGCAUGCUUGACCUUAAUUAUUGGGUUGCUAAAAGAAUAUUCCUCUAGCAUAUUGUCUCAUGUUUUAUCUCUUGACUAGUAUUUUGGCCCGUGCUAUGCACGGCCAUUGCCAUUACCAUAAAAAAAAUUCCACAUAUAAUUAGUAAAUGAUUUUUAAUAUUAUACAAAAUUAAUUAUAUAAAUUAAAAAAUUUAAAUUUAAAACUGCAUAGUAAAAUUAAAUUUGUAUAUGGAUAUGAUAUAGUAUAUAAACCGGUCAAACAGAACAAACUGAUUAAUUUAAAUAUAGUAGUAUAACUAUAUGUAAAUUAUAUAAUAUAAUUAAUAAGAUAUAAAUAAUUUAUUUUAUUAAUAUGAUCUUCAUACUUAAAAUGCUUAUUUUAGUUAUUCAAUUUUUUUUAAGUUAAAGGUUUUUUCUCAUUUUUAUCAAAUUAUAUAAAAUUUAAUUUAUUUUUUUCAUUGACAAAUAUGUGUGCUACCAUUUACUUAUUUAAUAAUAUAAUGAGUUACAAUUUUCUUAUUUUUAUUCUAUAAAAAUAUUAUUAUUAAUUUAAUAUGGUUACUAAUUUUUUUUAUGUUUUAAUAAAGCCAAUAUCUAAUCAAAUAAAGUAAAAUUCAUAAAAUUGAAUAUAUUCAUAGGUUUUGGUAGUAAACCGAAAACCGACAGUAUAAACCAAACCAAACCAAAGUAGAUAUGGUUUUAAUAUGGUAACUAUUUUUUUUAAACUAAAAUAACGAAACCAAAAAAGCCGAACCGGAAUCCGGAUUGGAGAACCUCAUUGUGAAAUUUUGGAAGCUGUUGAGAUAUAAAAAAACAUUGUGUCUAUUGAUAUGGUUUUUGAGGAUGCAAUUGUGAGUGCACAACAAAAUUAUUUUUGAUGAUUCAUAACUGCAGUUCAAUGCACGGGCAUUGCCAAUAUGAUAAAAAUAAGAUUCCAUAUAUAAUUAGCAAAUGAUUUCUUAAUAUUAUACAAAAUUAACUGUAUAAAUUAAAAAAUUGAAAUUUGAAACUGCGUAGGAAAUUCUGGAGGUGCUAAAAAAUUGAAAUUGAAAUUAUUAUACAACACAUUGAGAAUUCUGGAGGUGCUGAAACUCGUCUUUUAUUGAUACGCUCAUUGUACCACAUUAAAGCACCACAAUGUUUGCAUUGGAAUGUUGGAUCGCCGAAGUCUUCGUAAUCUAUGAAAAAAUUAGGUCAUUAUCUAUGUUGUUACUAUUAUGCUUUCAAAAUCCUAUGUACGUCAUGUUAUAUGUAUAGAAAAAUACUAAAUUAUUUGCUAAUGAUAUAUUGCUUCAGUAUAAUACCUGGAUUUGGAGUAAUAGCUUGAAAUGAAGUAGGAAUAGAGUGCUGGCUGGAGCUUGCCGAGUUAAAACUAACUGAAAGUUGAGAAUAAUAUAUUCUGAUAAAUAUUUAAAUUAGUAAAUAAUGAUUAUAAAUGUAAAUGAAUUACAAUACUACAUGAUACUCUUUGGUUUUGAGUUCUUCCUCCUAUCUCUCAAAAUGCACAUACGUUGGUUCCAUGACUAAAUAUCUUCUACCAUGAGGAAAUGAUCAAACCAGAAGCAAGAUUAAUUGGGUUGCUUAGAGGAAAAGAAACUGCAAUAUAGAAAACAAACAUAGCUCUAAAUACCUUGUCUUACGUUGAUUCUUCUCUGAGUGACCUUUUCUUUUCCUUUGCGUCGCAUUAUGUUUUGUCCUGUAAAAACAUAGGAGUUAAAUAAUUUCAAGGUGAUUAUAUUCUGAAAAGAGAAUGAGCGUUUACCUGUUUUAAGUUUAACGUCGAACGAUGUGGAAGAAGAAGAAGUGGAGAAAGUAAAAAAAUGGAGACACUACGAACAGUUAAGUUUUAAAUAAUUUCAAAUCCCUCCAAAAUAAGUAAAUUAAAUUAAUAUAUCUUUCCUCAUUCAUCCCUCCAAAUAAGUAAAUUGUAAUAUAAAUUUAAUUAUAUUAAAUUGUAUAGAUGUGUUUUACGUGAUCACUUUUUUUUUAUAAUUGUUUGCUUUUUCUUCUAGAUAACAGAGAAUAAUAAUAUAGAAUAUUGUAAAGGUAGAAAAUAUAAUUUAUCUCUAUACUAUAUAACAUGAAAAUGAUUAGUUGUUUAGGAUUUUAACAUAGCAUCUUUGUUUGGGAGUUGCAUAUGACUCAACAGAGAAAAACAAACGUUUAGACACUACAAAAGAAAUUGUGUAUUGUAUCAUUUAAAUUGUAUCAGUUAAAUAAAUGAUCUCAUUUUAAAUCACUUAUUCCUAAAUGAGACAAAUAUUAAUAAUUUGAAAUCAAUUAUAGGAAUUGAUGUUAUUAUUAACUAAUGUUGCAUCAGUUCAGUAAAAUGAUAUAUUUUUUCAUUAAUUUGUAUCACUUUAAGAAAAAUGAUAUUAUUUUAUAAAUUUAUAUCACUUAAAUAAUUGAUGUAUGUAUUAGUUUGGUUAACAUCACUUAUUAACAUGAUACAUAAUUGACAUCAGUUAAAAAUGAUACUAGUUAAAAUUAUAUAAUUAUAUUUUCAUCAAUUUACUAAAAUAAUAUUAUUUACUUUAGGUUGCCUCUAAAUAUUUGAAAGUAGAAAAUUAAUUUGCAUUAAUAAAAUAAUUAAUUAACAGAUAUAUAACGUAAUAUUAACAUGGAAUUAUGUGUAGCAAAGCAAAUCUGUUGCAAUCCCAAAAAAAUAGGAACCACGAACACGUCCAGUUGAAACAACUGAUCACUUGAACCAAUCGUUAAAAUUAGUUUUCUACAAAUAUUAACGAUACGAGAAGUAGUUAAUAUCUUGUGGCUUUAAUGAAUGCAUCUUAUUUUCUUUUUUUGUCAAGAUCCUCUCUCGUUAAGCCUUCGUCUUCCUCUUCAGUUCUUAAACUUGUUUAUGAGUUUAAAAUUUAUUGUUCUAAGUUUUUUGAUAAAAAACAAAAUUUCAACAAGCAUCAAACAUUUAUUUCUCAUAUGAGUCAUGAUGUUGAUUUUGUUUCUUCUUGUGGAGGAUAUGACAAAGAGACCAAGGUUUGCUAAUCAGACUAAUACGCUGGAAAACUCUCAAAAGGAAUUGGAGUCUUCGAAUAUUUUAGAAGUUGACUCAAAAUCUGGGAAAAGAGUAGACGUCAGAGAAUAUCGCCGGGUGGAGAGUUAUACGAUGAAUCUCGUUAACUCAGCUUCAUGCCAUCAACUGAGACGAAGAAUGGAAAUAGAGAUCUAAAGAUCUAGAAGAAGAAGAAGAAAAGAAGGCAAAAAAACAAUGUUGAAGUUUCGUCUAUGUAAUUUUUUUUAAUUUUUUUUUCUGGCUUAUACGUUAGAUUGUAAUUUUUAAUGGAAAUAAAAUUAAAAAUUGAUUAAA